UUGAGGCAUAUGCAGUAGGGGCAUGCAAAUGGACAUUAGUCAACUGAUGUGAUUCUCUAAUAAUCGAUCGCUAGGAUUCUCCUUUGCAUGCGAAAAUCUUUUUUUGAGCAAAACGGUGGCAGCAACCACCGCUCGUUUCAUUAAAAUAAUGAAACGGGGGACACUUUGCAUACAGAAAUCCCCUAGUGCUAUCGUCUUUUGUGGUUCACCCAUUUGAAGUUUUGAGUGGUUAACAUGUUUGCAUCCAAGAAGUUUCUUGGAGAAACUACACUGGAUCUAAAUAUAAUA
rnacentral:lncRNA from 1 species